rnacentral:tRNA from 1 species
GUAAAUAUAGUUUAACCAAAACAUUAGAUUGUGAACCUAACUAUAGAAGCCUAUCACUUCUUAUUUACC